UGGUUCUGGCAUCGAUGAAGAACGCAGCGAAAUGCGAUAAGUAAUGUGAAUUGCAGAAUUCAGUGAAUCAUCGAAUCUUUGAACGCACAUUGCGCCCUUUGGUAUUCCGAAGGGCAUGCCUGUUCGAGCGUCAUUAUAACCACUCAAGCUUAGCUUGGUAUUGGAGCUCGCUAUCUGCGGCUCCUAAAAUCAGUGGCGGUGCCUAUAGGCUCUACGCGUAGUAAUACUUCUCGCUAUAGAGUCCUGUGGGUUACUUGCCAACAACCCCUAUUUUUUUACGGUUGACCUCGGAUCAGGUAGGGAUACCCGCUGA
rnacentral:misc_RNA from 1 species